UGCCUCCUUAACUGUAAGUCGCUUUGGAUAAUAGCAUCUGCUAAAUGACUAAAU
rfam:Danio rerio chromosome 22, GRCz11 reference primary assembly.